rnacentral:lncRNA from 1 species
CGCUUCGAGGAGGCGAAAGCGCUCGCGGCGGCGGCGGGGGGAAAAGGAGACCGGAGGGGGGGGGGCGUGUGCGCGUAUGAAAAGCGGAGGAAGCGAAGAAAGUGUUCCAGCUCUGUGAUCUGUGCGUGCACCGCCGCCACUGUUGUGAGCGCGCCAGGCUGAAGAUCGUUGCGAAAGUGACCUGAGCAGGCUCGGGAGGGAGAAGCGCGAGGGAAAAAAGCGAGUCCGCCUGUGCGAGCCGAGCCUUUUCCAGCUGCCCAGGGCACCCGAAAGACAAGAGAUGGGGACUCGGCGCAUCGGAGGGGGGUGAAAACGAGGGGAGGGGGUGGGCGAGGAGUGUGCCGGGGUGGGAGGCAACACAUGCCGAGCACAAUCAGGGAUGGGACCCACGUCUGCAGCUGCACCUGGACCUGCUGCUCGUCAGGAGGGAGAAACAACAAGCAAGAAAAGAAGAAAUUAAGAGAAGGGGGGCCGAGUGGCGAACUCGCCAGCAUCAGUCUUAAUUUAUACACUCCUUCGGAGAAGUCCGUUCUUCGCCAGCCGAGGGAUUAAAUAAUAAUAAAAGCCUAGGCGCAGACGUUCGGGCAAUUGCACAAAGAUCCGGAAAGAAGUCUAGAAAUUUUUUUAAAAAAGAAACAGAAACGCGCACACAGGGCUUGCUGGAUUUUGCACAGAGCGGCCAUCUCAGCUGGAAGCAAUUCUUCGGAUUUUUUUUUUUUUAAAUGCAUCUAUGGAGUUACUUUGUAUCUACUCCUGAAAGGGGAGGGUAUCAUCUUCGGAUCCUGCGAGGGGGGGUCGUUCUCGCCCUCCGCAAUGGUACCGGGUUGAUCUUUGCAAAGGGAGAUUCCGUAAGCGUUGCCAUUUCUGGAGCAUCUCUCGCUUACCCCUCUCUGGUAGCCCGACGAACAUUCUCAACUCUUGGGAGGACGCUCUCUCCCAGCAAAGCAGAGGGCCUGCUGUUCAGCUUGGAAACUGCUGUAGGCUGAAAUAAACAGGCAUAAAAUUGAAAAUUCCCCCAAAGAAAAAUGCAGUGAAAUGCAACCAAGAGGUGAAAGUGACUGAAAACAAGAUUAAACAUAUCAAGCAUCAUAUUAAUAAAGACCAACUGAUGAAAUAAUAUACACAAUCAGAUUCAAGCAUCACAUGAAACAUUGAACCAUGUGGACUUUGUAAGAAAUACUUCAUCCACAUUCAGUAAUUUUUACUUUACGUUGAUAUGUUUUCAAUUUCCAUUCAGGUUUCAGGAAAUUUGAAU